rnacentral:rRNA from 1 species
CCCAAGAGAUCGGGAUAACACCUGGAAACAGAUGCUAAUACCGGAUAACAACAGAUGAUGNCCUAUCAACUGUUUAAAAGAUGGUUCUGCUAUCACUCUUGGAUGGACCUGCGGUGCAUUAGCUAGUUGGUAGGGUAACGGCCUACCAAGGCGAUGAUGCAUAGCCGAGUUGAGAGACUGAUCGGCCACAUUGGGACUGAGACACGGCCCAAACUCCUACGGGAGGCAGCAGUG